rnacentral:rRNA from 1 species
AUUGAACGCUGGCGGCAUGCCUUACACAUGCAAGUCGAACGGUAACAGGUUAAGCUGACGAGUGGCGAACGGGUGAGUAAUGUAUCGGAACGUGCCCAGUCGUGGGGGAUAACUGCUCGAAAGAGCAGCUAAUACCGCAUACGACCUGAGGGUGAAAGCGGGGGAUCGCAAGACCUCGCGCGAUUGGAGCGGCCGAUAUCAGAUUAGGUAGUUGGUGAGGUAAAGGCUCACCAAGCCGACGAUCUGUAGCUGGUCUGAGAGGACGACCAGCCACACUGGGACUGAGACACGGCCCAGACUCCUACGGGAGGCAGCAGUGGGGAAUUUUGGACAAUGGGCGCAAGCCUGAUCCAGCCAUGCCGCGUGCGGGAAGAAGGCCUUCGGGUUGUAAACCGCUUUUGUCAGGGAAGAAAAGGUUCUGGCUAAUACCUGGGACUCAUAACGGUACCUGAAGAAUAAGCACCGGCUAACUACGUG